GACGAACGCUGGCGGCGUGCUUAACACAUGCAAGUCGAACGGAAAGGCCCUGCUUUUGUGGGGUGCUCGAGUGGCGAACGGGUGAGUAACACGUGAGUAACCUGCCCUUGACUUUGGGAUAACUUCAGGAAACUGGGGCUAAUACCGGAUAGGAGCUCCUGCUGCAUGGUGGGGGUUGGAAAGUUUCGGCGGUUGGGGAUGGACUCGCGGCUUAUCAGCUUGUUGGUGGGGUAGUGGCUUACCAAGGCUUUGACGGGUAGCCGGCCUGAGAGGGUGACCGGCCACAUUGGGACUGAGAUACGGCCCAGACGCCUACGGGAGGCAGCAGUGGGGAAUAUUGCACAAUGGGCGGAAGCCGGAUGCAGCAACGCCGCGUGCGGGACGACGGCCUUCGGGUUGUAAACCGCUUUCGCCUGUGACGAAGCGUGAGUGACGGUAAUGGGUAAAGAAGCACCGGCUAACUACGU
rnacentral:rRNA from 1 species